GAGGUUUUAGCUUAAUUAAAGUGUUUGAGUUGCAUUCAGAAGAUGUAUUUUAGAGUAAUACAGGCCUU
rnacentral:tRNA from 1 species